rnacentral:sRNA from 1 species
AAAAAAGGAACUUCUACUAAGAACGUCCACGUCCUGUGGACAACGCAGAAGUCACCAUAUCCUGUGAA